AGCGAACGCUGGCGGCAGGCUUAACACAUGCAAGUCGAGCGGGCACUUUCGGGUGUCAGCGGCGGACGGGUGAGUAACGCGUGGGAACGUGCCCCCUGGUUCGGAAUAACUCAGGGAAACUUGAGCUAAUACCGGAUACGCCCUCUUGGGGAAAGGCUUGCUGCCCGAGGAUCGGCCCGCGUCUGAUUAGCUAGUUGGUGAGGUAACGGCUCACCAAGGCGACGAUCAGUAGCUGGUCUGAGAGGAUGAUCAGCCACACUGGGACUGAGACACGGCCCAGACUCCUACGGGAGGCAGCAGUGGGGAAUAUUGGACAGUGGGCGCAAGCCUGAUCCAGCCAUGCCGCGUGAGUGAUGAAGGCCUUAGGGUUGUAAAGCUCUUUUAUCCGGGACGAUAAUGACGGUACCGGAGGAAUAAGCCCCGGCUAACUUCGUG
rnacentral:rRNA from 1 species